rnacentral:rRNA from 1 species
UACGGAGGGGGCUAGCGUUAUUCGGAAUUACUGGGCGUAAAGCGCGCGUAGGCGGUAAAUCAAGUUGGAAGUGAAAGCCCAAGGCUUAACCUUGGAAUUGCUUUCAAGACUGAUUAACUAGAGUUUAGUAGAGGAUGGUGGAAUUCCUAGUGUAGAGGUGAAAUUCUUAGAUAUUAGGAGGAACACCGGUGGCGAAGGCGGCCAUCUGGGCUAAAACUGACGCUGAGGCGCGAAAGCGUGGGGAGCAAACAGG